GGCAACUUUUCCUCCAGACAGGUUUUCAUAAAUCUCCCCCAAUAUUAUUAAUAGCAUGGACCUUUAAGCAAUGAGCAGUUUUGGCGGCUGUGUGGAAUGUAAUAAGCCAUGUCUUCUAGCCUUACUGUCUGAUGGAGGUUACUACAUGGUAACUGAUACACCAAGUGUCCAAUGAUCAGGUACCCCACACAUGCCAUGCAAACACCAACACACCUGCGUCGCUUGAGCAGAAACACCAAUUACAGGACACAAGGUACAACUGGCAGCACUAGUCUAUUGCAAAGGGCUUUCUCUACCAUGGUGACUGGAGCAGAUAAAUCCUGAACCUAAUCUCAGCUGAAAUAGGAUUCCGAGAGCCCAGGAGACUGAAACCCAUAGUAACAUCUUCGUGUACUCACUUAGGACAGACAACUUAAGUCUAAAGAUUAAAGACAUUA